GAUGAACGCUAGCGGCAGGCCUAACACAUGCAAGUCGAGGGAGGAGCUUUCGGGCUUCGACCGGCGUACGGGUGCGUAACGCGUAUACAAUCUGCCUUUCACAUAGGGAUAGCCCGAAGAAAUUUGGAUUAAUACCUAAUGGUAUAUAGAGGUGGCAUCACCUUUAUAUUAAAGCUGAGGCGGUGAAAGAUGAGUAUGCGUUCUAUUAGCUAGUUGGAGAGGUAACGGCUCCCCAAGGCGACGAUAGAUAGGGGUUCUGAGAGGGAUAUCCACCACACUGGUACUGAGAUACGGACCAGACCCCUACGGGAGGCAGCAGUGAGGAAGAUUGGACACUGGUCGGAAGACUGAUCCAGCCAUGCCGCGUGCAGGAAGACGGCCUUAUGGGUUGUAAACUGCUUGUGAAGGGGAAGAAUAAGGACUACGCGUAGUUUGAUGACGGUACUCUGCGAAUAAGCAUCGGCUAACUCCGUG
rnacentral:rRNA from 1 species